rnacentral:sRNA from 1 species
UCGCGUCUACUGUUGAGCGGCCCUCUC